rnacentral:rRNA from 1 species
GACGAACGCUGGCGGCGUGCUUAACACAUGCAAGUCGAACGGAAAGGCCCUGCUUUUGUGGGGUGCUCGAGUGGCGAACGGGUGAGUAACACGUGAGUAACCUGCCCUUGACUUUGGGAUAACUUCAGGAAACUGGGGCUAAUACCGGAUAGGAUCUCCUGCUGCAUGGUGGGGGUUGGAAAGUUUCGGCGGUUGGGGCUGGACUCGCGGCUUAUCAGCUUGUUGGUGGGGUAGUUGCUUACCAAGGCUUUGACGGGUAGCCGGCCUGGGAGGGGGACCGGCCACAUUGGGACUGAGAUACGGCCCAGACUCCAACGGGAGGCAGCAGUGGGGAAUAUUGCACAAUGAGCGGAAGCCUGAUGCAGCAACGCCGCGUGCGGGAUGACGGCCUUCGGGUUGUAAACCGCUUUCGCCUGUGACGAAGCGUGAGUGACGGUAAUGGGUAAAGAAGCACCGGCUAACUACGUG